rnacentral:rRNA from 1 species
AGUAACACGUGGGUAACCUGCCCGGAAGUGGGGAAUACCUCGGGGAAACUCGAGCUAAUACCGCAUGACAUCUUCGGGACGAAAGUCCUGACGAUCAAAGCGGGGUCGCAAGAUCUCGCGCUACCGGAUGGGCCCGCGCCUGAUUAGCUAGUUGGUGGGGUAACGGCUCACCAAGGCUUCGAUCAGUAACCGGCCUGAGAGGGCGAUCGGUCACACCGGGACUGAGAGACGGCCCAG